GGAGAACGCUGGCGGCGUGCCUAAUACAUGCAAGUCGAACGCACAGCGAAAGGUGCUUGCACCUUUCAAGUGAGUGGCGAACGGGUGAGUAACACGUGGACAACCUGCCUCAAGGCUGGGGAUAACAUUUGGAAACAGAUGCUAAUACCGAAUAAAACUUAGUGUCGCAUGACACAAAGUUAAAAGGCGCUUCGGCGUCACCUAGAGAUGGAUCCGCGGUGCAUUAGUUAGUUGGUGGGGUAAAGGCCUACCAAGACAAUGAUGCAUAGCCGAGUUGAGAGACUGAUCGGCCACAUUGGGACUGAGACACGGCCCAAACUCCUACGGGAGGCUGCAGUAGGGAAUCUUCCACAAUGGGCGAAAGCCUGAUGGAGCAACGCCGCGUGUGUGAUGAAGGCUUUCGGGUCGUAAAGCACUGUUGUAUGGGAAGAACAGCUAGAAUAGGAAAUGAUUUUAGUUUGACGGUACCAUACCAGAAAGGGACGGCUAAAUACGUGCCAGCAGCCGCGGUAAUACGUAUGUCCCGAGCGUUAUCCGGAUUUAUUGGGCGUAAAGCGAGCGCAGACGGUUUAUUAAGUCUGAUGUGAAAGCCCGGAGCUCAACUCCGGAAUGGCAUUGGAAACUGGUUAACUUGAGUGCAGUAGAGGUAAGUGGAACUCCAUGUGUAGCGGUGGAAUGCGUAGAUAUAUGGAAGAACACCAGUGGCGAAGGCGGCUUACUGGACUGCAACUGACGUUGAGGCUCGAAAGUGUGGGUAGCAAACAGGAUUAGAUACCCUGGUAGUCCACACCGUAAACGAUGAACACUAGGUGUUAGGAGGUUUCCGCCUCUUAGUGCCGAAGCUAACGCAUUAAGUGUUCCGCCUGGGGAGUACGACCGCAAGGUUGAAACUCAAAGGAAUUGACGGGGACCCGCACAAGCGGUGGAGCAUGUGGUUAAUUCGAAGCACGCGAAGACCUUACCAGGUCUUGACAUCCUUUGAAGCUUUAGAGAUAA
rnacentral:rRNA from 1 species